CCUACGGGAUGCAGCAGUGAGGAAUAUUGGUCAAUGGACGAGAGUCUGAACCAGCCAAGUAGCGUGAAGGAUGACUGCCCUAUGGGUUGUAAACUUCUUUUAUAUGGGAAUAAAACGUUCCACGUGUGGGAUUUUGUAUGUACCAUAUGAAUAAGGAUCGGCUAACUCCGUGCCAGCAGCCGCGGUAAUACGGAGGAUCCGAGCGUUAUCCGGAUUUAUUGGGUUUAAAGGGAGCGUAGGUGGAUUGUUAAGUCAGUUGUGAAAGUUUGCGGCUCAACCGUAAAAUUGCAGUUGAAACUGGCAGUCUUGAGUACAGUAGAGGUGGGCGGAAUUCGUGGUGUAGCGGUGAAAUGCUUAGAUAUCACGAAGAACUCCGAUUGCGAAGGCAGUUCACUGGACUGCAACUGACACUGAGGCUCGAAAGUGUGGGUAUCAAACAGGAUUAGAUACCCGAGUAGUC
rnacentral:rRNA from 1 species